AAUAAAGUGCCUGAUAAAAGGAUUAUUCUGAUAGGAUAAAUUAUGUAGAGUUCUACCUUUAUUA
rnacentral:tRNA from 1 species